rnacentral:piRNA from 1 species
UCUGGUUCUAGCCUGAGCUUUUUUCCCUGA